rfam:Babjeviella inositovora NRRL Y-12698 unplaced genomic scaffold BABINscaffold_25, whole genome shotgun sequence.
AAACCUAUGAUUCAAUGGUUAGAAUGAUCGCUUGAUAUGCGUUUUGUGUAGGUUCGAUUCCUGCUAGGUUUA